ACGCGCGCAGACGACGAAGAGCGCGAGCAAGCGCGCGAUGGCCGGUCCAUUCAUUCCAUUAACACAGAAACCCACAAUCGCGCUUCUUCUCACUGCCAGUGCCGUAUGUCCGUGCGCGCAGAGAAAGCACCUUUCAAAGGUCGAUCCGCGACACACACACAACCGCGCACGCUUGACCCUCGCUCACAAAUCAACAGGAGAAACACACAUCUCCAGACUCCAGACGCGCAGCAUCCGUGGAGGGGCGUGGUCAGGCGUGAGGGGAGGCAGCGAGUCGGUGCCUGAGCGAGGGGAGGGCGUCGGCGGCCCAUUCGGCGUCUACGACGCUCACGUUGCGCAUGUACGAGCGGCCUGUGUGCACCAAUUCGGAGAAGAGCACGCAGCUAGGGGGCGUGGUCGCGUCGAACAGCACGCUGGACGGGUGCAGCGACACGAACUGACGGUUCGACACCUGCGCAGCUCAAGAAUUCAAAUUUUAAAAGAGUGCGACGGACAGUUACGUGAAAAUUUCUUAAAGAAUGCCAAGAAUUUAGAAUUGGCGGGAACUCUUCAACAGGUCUUGCGGAUUGGUUGCGAAAAUGGCGGGAAACUUAUUAAGAAUUUCGAGAAUAAGCGAAUUUUUAAACCAAGGCGAGGUUAGUCGCACAUUUUGGCGGGAAAUUCAAAUUUUAAACGGCAACUGCCACGAUUUGAAUAAAAAGGCGCCAAAAAAAUUCUUACCGUGACGUAGAGCUUGUCUCGGGCGUGCGUGGCGAGGUUGCUGAAGAGGCCGGAGACGAGGCAGCGCCUGACCUGCGUCAGGUCCUUGCCGCACGAGCCCUGAGUGACGCCGGCCUUGUCGCACAGCGCGACCAGCUGCUCCCUGACCUGCGUCGCGUGGCUCAGGGCGCGCAGACUCAGGUGGUUCUCCCUGCAAAAAACCUGUACGCACGCAUGCGUCACUUUGAGGCGUUCAUCAGGGUCUCAGGGUGGCUCACCUUUUUGUUUUUGGCGGCUGUGAAGGCGUUGUGCACGUUGAGCAGCGUUUCGUGGUCGCCAAACUCGGAGUGGAACUUGCUCUGCGCCACCAGCGCCUCGUUGCGCUUACUCGAAGACGACUGCAGCACCCCCUCGCCAGACAGCAGCGCCACCAGGGUCACGAUUUCAUCCCUGAAGGGUAUAGGGAAGAUAAACGGAUUGUUUUGAUGAAAAAAUCGAGCAAUUAAAGCCCGUCAUUGCGUUCGCGCCGCGGAGAUUUGGCCGCCCCGCCCACUUUUAUAUCUCUCCGCAUCACCCACACGAGUCAGCUGAUCGGAGUGAAGUUAACUCCGUUUGAUAGACCUCUCCAAGAGCCAACUUCCCUCCGAUUAGCUGAAUCAAACGAUCGGCCAGAUUUCCGCGACACGAAAAACUAAUGAUUUUUACGCAAUUGAAGAUAAAGUUGAUUUUAACCUGCACUGGAGCGUGCCAGAGGCGAUGAGGACGCGAGCGUAGGCCGCGUCGAUGGGGAAGGCGGCCAUCUGACGUCCGAGCGGCGUGAUCUGCAGCUCGUUAGAGGCCUCCAGCACGCCGCCGAGCGCCUUGAGCUGCUGCACGGCGGACAGAAGCGCCUCCGGCUUCGGCUUGUCCACAAAGUCAAAGUCGGCCACCUUGCGCACGCCCAUGGUCAGCAGCUGCAGCACCACCGAGCUCAGGUUGAUGCGCAGCAUCUCAGGUACCGUCGACGCCGGAAGACGACUGAAUUCCUGCACCCGCAGCGGAAGCAGGUGCCUUGGGCCUCUCUUCCGGCGCGUCCGGUGCGCUGCCACGCCUGGUCCUGCGCGAUUCGCUGCACCUUGAGCACGUCCAGCCCCGUGCCCACGAAAUGCGUCCUGAAAAUUCGAGAUAUUUAACGAUUUCAUGCUUUUCCUAGCGGAUUUUGCGGACCUUUGCUUCACCAUGCCGGAGUCGAUGACGUGCCUGAUGCCGUUGAUGGUGACCGAGGUCUCGGCGAUGUUGGUCGCCAGCACCACCUUGCGGACUGUCGCAGCCACCGGCUUGAACGCCUGCACCUGCUGCUCCUGCGGCAGGGCGGCGUACAGCGGCAACACGACCAUCGGAGCGCCUCCAACCUCCUGAUCAAACAAAAAGCUAGUAAAAUACGAACCAACGAGAAUGUUUUGAGUUGAAAGAUGAAUAAACGAAAACAAAUAUG